rnacentral:tRNA from 1 species
AGCUCAGUGGUUCAAUGGUAAAGCGUUCGUAGCGAAGCUUAAAGGUCCUGGGUUCAAUCCCCGAUGGGGUCG